CACGUAGGGUGCGAGCGUUGUCCGGAAUUAUUGGGCGUAAAGAGCUCGUAGGCGGUGUGUCGCGUCGGCCGUGAAAACCUGCAGCUUAACUGUGGCGUGCGGUCGAUACGGGCAUCACUGGAGUUCGGCAGGGGAGACUGGAAUUCCUGGUGUAGCGGUGAAAUGCGCAGAUAUCAGGAGGAACACCGGUGGCGAAGGCGGGUCUCUGGGCCGAUACUGACGCUGAGGAGCGAAAGCGUGGGGAGCGAACAGG
rnacentral:rRNA from 1 species